rnacentral:rRNA from 1 species
AUUGAACGCUGGCGGCAUGCUUUACACAUGCAAGUCGAACGGCAGCGCGGGCUUCGGCCUGGCGGCGAGUGGCGAACGGGUGAGUAAUACAUCGGAACGUGCCCAGUAGUGGGGGAUAGCUCGGCGAAAGCCGGAUUAAUACCGCAUACGGCCUGAGGGUGAAAGCGGGGGAUCUUCGGACCUCGCGCUAUUGGAGCGGCCGAUGGCAGAUUGGCUAGUUGGUGGGGUAAAGGCCUACCAAGGCGACGAUCUGUAGCUGGUCUGAGAGGACGACCAGCCACACUGGGACUGAGACACGGCCCAGACUCCUACGGGAGGCAGCAGUGGGGAAUUUUGGACAAUGGGCGAAAGCCUGAUCCAGCAAUGCCGCGUGUGUGAUGAAGGCCUUCGGGUUGUAAAGCACUUUUGGCGGGAACGAAAAGGACUGUGCCAAUACCACGGUUCGAUGACGGUACCCGCAGAAUAAGCACCGGCUAACUACGUG